CUGGAUCGCUCCUCCGUGAGGCUUGUGCAGGCACAAGGAACACAGCGGCGGCCUCCCUGUACCCUCGGGUCAUAUCUGCUAUCCUUGGUAGCAAUGGCUUCGUCGGCCAGAUUCGGUGCCUUGGUGGCCGGAUCCGGUGUCUCUAAGGUUGGAUCUGCAUGGUGCUUUUUCGGCAGGGCGCAACGGCGGCAGUGGAGCCACGAUGGGCCGCAGACCACUGGUCAGUCUCCAUCGAUUGGGCACAUGAGGUAGGUGACAGGGGAAGGAAGGGGUAGUAGAGAUUCUUGUGUGCUUGUUCAAUGAGAGAUUACUUAAUUAUCCAAUCAGAGGAGCUCCUGCCGUGGUUGAGGAGGCAAAUCAGAACUGAGAAAAAUCUAUUCACAGUCAUAAUGCGACUGGCUCUUUUUUGUCUUUUUUUCCUGAAGCUGUAACUGGAGUCUCAAUUGCCAAUCUAAAGCUUAACACUACUCAAAUAGGAAUUCUGGUUUAUUUCCAAUUGACAGUCACUGAAAAAUAAUAUCCAGUAUGCAAGUCCUUACCGGGUGUAGGAGGCUAAGUGCAGUGCCAACGUUUUCAAGGGCGUUUGGAAGAGCAUUAGCUGGUUUCAUGUACAGUUAGUGAUGAUGCCAUGAUAUUGAUUUUGGACACCUGACGUGAGAGCUUUAUUAUAAUAGUUUUUGCUAACUUGAAUGUAACGAGCCUAAUGUCAAAUUCAAGGAAGCAGGGCACACUAAAAUGUACUUCCCUCAAGUGUUUAGCCAUAACGAUCAUGAUACAACAUGUUCUCAUGGAGCUUCCAUCACCUGAGUGGGGAGCAGCACGUCACGGGUGUGAGCGCAUGCACUGGCGCAAGUGGAAUCAAAUUGGAGGAGGUUACUAUUCUGAAUUACGCCUACACAAAGCUCUUCGACUUCAUCUUAAGGUGGAAUAUGGGUAUUGCUGAACAAUAUGAAGCCAUGUUUUAUCUUGGAAUUUGACAGAAUGGAAAUUGGCUUUGCUGGUAGUCUCUUCGGAUUGUUUAGCUAGGUGAACAUACCUUAUUGUACGAACAACUGAUCUACUGACGCUCUUGCCAUACCGAAGUAUAAAUAAUCUUUA